rnacentral:rRNA from 1 species
UGCAGUCGACGGUAGAGUAGCAAUACUCGAGAGUGGCGAACGGGUGAGUAAUAUAUCGGAACGUGCCCAGUCGUGGGGGAUAACGUAGAGAAAUUUACGCUAAUACCGCAUACGAUCUAAGGAUGAAAGCGGGGGAUCGCAAGACCUCGCGCGAUUGGAGCGGCUGAUAUCAGAUUAGGUUGUUGGUGAGGUAAAAGCUCACCAAGCCGACGAUCUGUAGCUGGUUUGAGAGAACGACCAGCCACACUGGGACUGAGACACGGCCCAGACUCCUACGGGAGGCAGCAGUGGGGAAUUUUGGACAAUGGGCGAAAGCCUGAUCCAGCAAUGCCGCGUGCAGGAAGAAGGCCUUCGGGUUGUAAACUGCUUUUGUACGGAACGAAACGGUCCUUUCUAAUAAAGAGGGCUAAUGACGGUACCGUAAGAAUAAGCACCGGCUAACUACGUGCCAGCAGCCGCGGUAAUACGUAGGGUGCGAGCGUUAAUCGGAAUUACUGGGCGUAAAGCGUGCGCAGGCGGUUAUGUAAGACAGUUGUGAAAUCCCCGGGCUCAACCUGGGAAUUGCAUCUGUGACUGCAUAGCUAGAGUACGGUAGAGGGGGAUGGAAUUCCGCGUGUAGCAGUGAAAUGCGUAGAUAUGCGGAGGAACACCGAUGG